rnacentral:rRNA from 1 species
UGCGAACGUUUGCGGCGGGCCUAACACAUGCAAGUCGAACGCACUAGCAAUAGUGAGUGGCGCACGGGUGCGUAACACGUGGGUAAUCAACCCUUCAGCCUGGGAUAACGACUCGAAAGGGUCGCUAAUACCGGAUACGGCGCGAGAGGCUUCGGCUUCUCACGAGAAAGCCACGCAAGGGGCACUGAAGGACGAGCCUGCGGCCCAUCAGCUAGUUGGUGAGGUAAGAGCUCACCAAGGCUAAGACGGGUAGCUGGUCUGAGAGGAUGAUCAGCCACACUGGAACUGAGACACGGUCCAGACUCCUACGGGAGGCAGCAGUGGGGAAUAUUGCGCAAUGGGCGAAAGCCUGACGCAGUCACGCCGCGUGAGCGAUGAAGGCC